AUAAGCAUCAUGCAACAUAAUUGCCUGAAGUAACUGAAAAUUGAGAAUGAACAGCUAUCAUGGUCUACGGCCCAAGUUUGUUAGACAUCAUACAAAAAUAAGUAAAACCUGCAGUCAAGCACAAUAGUAGAUGCCAAACAAGAAGGUAGAACUGGGAGAAACAGAUGUUAAUGAUAUCGACGAUUACAACAGAAGCUGCCUACGAGAAAAGCCAUCAUUUUCCACUAGAAUAGUAUCUUGCAAUUUUAUAGAAAGAAAUGAAAUAAAUCCCAUGCCGGUAUCCAAAACAGGACUGAACCAAUAUUUCAAAUUACUGGUUCAUACAUGGAUGAGAUGAAGAACUCUCAGUACCCUCCUAUUGGGACCACAUAAGAUCAAAUAACCUCAGCUGGACUCAGGGGGACACAAUAUAAACGCAAUAAGACAUUUCUGAUUGACUACAAAUAACCAAAAAAAUUGUACUAAGAAAUGCUGAAAACAGUUGAACAGAGUGAAAAUUAUACCAACAUUGUUACAAGUGAGGAUGAAAUUAAAUUUGCAAUGAAUAUGAGCAUCCAACCAAAACCUUAAGGAAACUGGCGGAGUAGCCCAACCCACAAUAAAACCCUUUGGAAACCUUCAAAAAGCAAUACGGGACAAGCAUAUUCUAACACUUCCCACAUGUGAAACCUGUUUUUAAGUUUAUAUGUGGUCACUUUACUUAUAAUUUUUUCCUUAUGUUUGGAAGAUUAAAAUAGCUCAACAGGCUAAAGUGUGGGCCUAGACUAGACCAAGUAAGCUCAAGAUGAGAAUGGGCAUAAAGAAGACUCAAUGUGCUAAGAAGUGUCUUCCUAACAGAACUAAAUAUUUGGGGACUGAUUAGAGAGAAGAGCCUAGAGAAGCUCAGUGGGUUGAGAUGUGAGAGAGAAGCCCAAUGCAAUGGAAUAAGUAGAGAGAAAAUGGUUGUGCAAACGGGUUCACCAAAGUUUUCCCUGUUACCAUGUAAAAAUAUAAACAUACAAUCCAAUCCAAAACUAGGAGGCAAUGGGUGAAUAGCCGACGACAAUUACUAACCCCUUAGGAAACCUAAAACCGAUGUGGGACAAGUAUAUUCUAAUAAAAUAAAGGGAACAAAAAAGGUAGGAUAACUAACCUAUAUCCAGAAUAUAGUUGAGAUUAUAUUUUGCUAUCUUGUCAGCAAGAGUAUGUCAUGUUUGACUAAAGAAUAUGUGUCACAUUGUAACUUUUGCAUGAUCUCAAUGCUAGAAUACUAUAGAAGAAGAAAAAAAACAGUCACUAAGAUCAAUUUAAUUUGGAGAAGGUGAUGCAAAAAAGGGAGAAGUGGCACUUUGCACAUAAUCACUUGAAACUCGGUGGAAAGGGAGAAACAAACUUAAGUUCACAAUAUAAGACCUACGUUUCCCAAUUUCCAUGUUUACAGGAACUAGUUUUAGGUGAUAUACCAAUGAAUCAAUCAACUGCGACCAAUGUCCAAUCCCAGAUUAGUUGGGAGUUGUUCAAGGUUGGAACCACAAUAUGAGCAAUAUGAACGAAUGCUGUGGAUGAUUUGAGUUGAGUCAUUCUCUCAACCCGUACAUACUUUGACAUGGACUUAAUGAUGAUAUUAUGAAAUUAUUGACAUAUUAGGAAGUGUGAGCCCUAUUGCUUUGUACAAUGGUGUUGUUAAAGUUUUCAACUACCAAAACAAAUAAUAAAGGCAAAAGCAAAUGUAACCUGAUUAAGGGAGAUUACAAGAUUCCAUUCACCAGCGGAUAGCCAAUUUUACAUCAGCAAACUUGUUACAAGUAUGCCACUUUAAAAACUAUUGAUGUUUCAAAAACCAGAAGAAGAGCAUGUAGACGAAUCAAGCCUAAAGUAAACCAAGUAUGACAUAGUGAGGUUGAGCAGAAAAGAACAUGGCGCAGAAUUAUCGCAUAACAGCAUAAGCGGAAAGAAAACAACAAAGUAACAAAGUGAUUAAACUGGUCCAAAUAAAAUGAGAUAUCAACUGUAUAUUUGGAUGACCAAUGAUAUACAAUAGCAGGUGAUCCCAAGCAAUCUAAAUUUGUGGCAAAUAUAGCUAGUUAACUAACAACAGAAGAAAAUAUUGAACAUGAAGAAUGUGAAACCACUAAGAUUAUAUCUUUGCCGAACUGCCACGUUAUUCAACUUAAUGGUUGACCAAAAAAGUUCAUGAAAAAAUAAGCAAUAACUAGCAAGGACAGAUCAUUAAGAAAACAGAAAAAAUUGAGACCUGUGCAGAGUAUAGAGAUUGCGGACACUUCGAUCAGCAUCUGGAGAUAAAUAUUUUCCGUUCUCU
rnacentral:lncRNA from 1 species